AACGUCCGUCGUGGAUCAACUCCCUCCCCUGAGUGUGAUCCCGAAGGAACCGACUUUCCCCAGUCGGUUCCAACCCCCGGCCCCGCAAGCUUCCCCUGGCUUGCGGGGCUUUUUA
rnacentral:sRNA from 1 species